rnacentral:ncRNA from 2 species
GUCGCCGUCGGCGAUGGAUCCCGCCCGCGUCGAUGACGACGGAACCGCCGGCCGGCUGAUGGUUCCUGCUCCCAG